AAUGUCUUUCUUAAUCAAGUGGAUGAGAGGGUGUCUACAUCCCAUGGUGGAAGAGAUGAGAAUCGUUUUCUGCAUGGCUAUAAAGAAUUCAUCCAUGGAGUACAAGUUACCCAACCAUCUAAGUCAGAAUUAGAGACUUAUUUGGAAGAGAAGAUUCAUCCAUUAGAAGAUCAAAAUUUUGACAUUCUACAGUAUUGGAAAUUCAAUGAAUCAAAAUAUCCAAUAUUGUCUAGGAUGGUACGUGAUAUCUUGGCAAUUCCCAUUUCUACUGUUGCAUCUGAGUCUGCCUUUAGCACUGCUGGCAGGGUUUUGGAUGAUUUUCGUAGUAGUCUAUCUCCAAAUACGGUUGAGAUAUUGGUGUGCACACAGGAUUGGCUUCGAGACAGCUUGCCUCAUCUUGCAGAUGAUCCACCUUCUCAUACAAAAUACAAGAUUGAAGAUUACGAAACUGUUGUUGAUAUUAAUAUCGAUGAUUAACUUAUGCUGGUAAGUAGUAGAGUUCAUCUUCAUUAUUAUGCUUACAUUUGAAUUCUCCGAUUUGCAUCAUUUCAUGUGACAUGACCACCUACUUGCAUCAUUGAUUCAUUAUAUAUGUUGCUAUCAGAUGUAGGUGCAAGCAAAGAGAAAUUUAUGAUUCCAUGUGUUCAAGUUAGAAGGAUGUAUACAUUGCAUGACAAACCUGUUUACAUAACCAGCAAAGACAGCAUAACUUCAAAGCUCCUGCACAAACAUAAAAGUGUACUCAUUGAUGCUUAAACUUUAUAAUUUUAUAGUAUAAUGAUCGUAAACUGAUGUUGCUUCUUUGCUUUAUGCAGGAUGGUGGUAAUCUAUCUUAACUAAUGGGACAAGUCAUCUUCACUGAAUUUUGAUGUUGAUGUUGAUGUUGAUGUUAAUUGCAUGAUGUUGAUGUUGUGAUGCAUCCUUUUGGAUUGUCAUAUGGGGUAGAAUUUUGCUGUGAUGUAGUAAAUUGUAAUGUUGUGAUCCUAAAACUGUGACCCAGGUUGUAAUGCUGUUGUUUGGAUUGUCCUUUGUCAUAUGGGGUUGAAUUUUAUUGUUGAUAUUAAUAUCGAUGAUUAACUUAUGCUGGUAAGUAGUAGAGUUCAUCUUCAUUAUUAUGCUUACAUUUGAAUUCUCCGAUUUGCAUCAUUUCAUGUGACAUGACCACCUACUUGCAUCAUUGAUUCAUUAUAUAUGUUGCUAUCAGAUGUAGGUGCAAGCAAAGAGAAAUUUAUGAUUCCAUGUGUUCAAGUUAGAAGGAUGUAUACAUUGCAUGACAAACCUGUUUACAUAACCAGCAAAGACAGCAUAACUUCAAAGCUCCUGCACAAACAUAAAAGUGUACUCAUUGAUGCUUAAACUUUAUAAUUUUAUAGUAUAAUGAUCGUAAACUGAUGUUGCUUCUUUGCUUUAUGCAGGAUGGUGGUAAUCUAUCUUAACUAAUGGGACAAGUCAUCUUCACUGAAUUUUGAUGUUGAUGUUGAUGUUGAUGUUGAUGUUAAUUGCAUGAUGUUGAUGUUGUGAUGCAUCCUUUUGGAUUGUCAUAUGGGGUAGAAUUUUGCUGUGAUGUAGUAAAUUGUAAUGUUGUGAUCCUAAAACUGUGACUCAGGUUGUAAUGCUGUUGUUUGGAUUGUCCUUUGUCAUAUGGGGUUGAAUUUUACUUUGAAAAAUCCUGUGAUGCUAAUACUGUAACCAGCUUUGAUUAUAAACUUACAUCUUAGUGCAUAGGUGGUGGAAUUGAAGUGUCUAUUGGCCUUUGUCCUGUAUGUCUCAUGUUUACUAGUGGAUAUCAAUAAUUGGAAUGGUUUGAGAAAGAAGUUGUUAUAAUUCUUUAGGUGUUUGAUUCCUCCUGACAAGUGUGUUUUUUGUUUCUUCUUUUCUUCAUGCAGACGAAGUGAACCAAGAAGGCUGGAAUUGUUGGCAAAUAUGGUCUGACAUAUAUACCAGAGCAGUCCUUGAAGAUAUAUGCAACUUCCAGCAUUGCAACAGGGAUUUUGUAGUGCAUGUAACCCUGCUUUAUGCCCCUUCUUGUUUGUCUCAACUUUCUUCGUGGAUCAAAACGCUGCCUGCGAGGUUAUGUAUGAUAUUGGAAAGAUGGAGGUCCAUACCAUGAGAUUGUCGGCACCCAAUGGCGCCAUCUCUGCCUAUUUCAGGACCAAUGUGGAUUGAAGAAUGUUCGGCUUGAUUCCACAUUCGUAGCUGAUGACGUGGCUUAUAAUUCCAGUGCUGACGACAUGGUUCUAAUGUCCAAAGCUGUACUUCAUCCACUUUACAGUGUCCUAUUCAGCUCUCCCAUAUUUGAGCAUGUGACAUUUGUAUACUGUUCCUAUCAGGUGAUUGUGAUUGUUCUUCCUUGAAUCUCAGAAGAAAUCCAAGUUUACUGCUUACGUGGAUGCCAUUUAUUUUUUUCAUGUCCAGCGUGCUCCCAGAUUUUGCAUGUAUUGGUGGAAACUUCUUUUACCAUGACAUAUAUUUGAAUUCCUGUGGUUGUGUG